GCUGUUUGUGAGUCUAUUUGUAUUCGAACUUCUAAAGUUUUAUUUGGCCUAGUUUUUUAAAAAUUAUUUUAGGCUUAAAAUUAUUUUUGGGUUCAGUAAAGUGUUUGGCAAAGAAAUUUUAAAAAUCUAAUUCUGUCUUUCAGCAUUAGAAAACUAAUUUUUCAACUCAAGCAGAAAAGAACUAUUUUUUUAAAACUGAUUCCCGCAAAAACAGUUUUUCCACUUAAAAUUUUUUAUCAAAAUAUCAAAACUAUUCCUAAACAAAUAAUACAAUUCUACUCUAUCCCUUUAAUAAUUAUAAUCUUUCCAACUAUCAUCGUCUCUCCCCCGUACUCCUUCACAACCAACUUUCCACUCCAACAAAAAAAAAUUCACUUUCCUCUCCUCUCUCCUCCAUCUCUCUCCCUUCUUUCUCUCCAGCGAUGCCUUUCCCUCCUACGAUCCACCAAGAUACUCACUUUUUUUUUUUUACAGAUUUCUCUCCCUCCUUCUCUUGAUUUUUUCCAUCCCCUCAGCCCGUCUUUAUCGGAUCCGCGCCGACGGGAUCCAGCAAAGACGGAUCCCGCUG
rnacentral:lncRNA from 1 species